CAGACCACAAUGCACCGCUCACGGCGUCGGUUGCCCGGGCAAUGGGCCGCACGCUACGAGGCCCACACACCCAGAAGGUGGAGCCCCGGCCGGGUUACGAGGACCACCCAGCUGUCUGGAGAGGUAGGAAGGGAGCUUCUGCCGGGGCCAAGGGAAGUGAUUCCAAAUUCACGGAGGUUGUCCCAGGGUGUGUUCUCGAACAACAGUCUCUAGAAGUUGGUGGCCAUUCCUGCCCCCACCCCCCCGCCCCCCCACCACGACAGGUCGCAUGAUCUCGCACCCCAGAUGAAGAAAAUGAGGUUCAAAGAGAUGAAGUCUCUUGCCUAAAGUCAGUGACAGAAAGUGACAGAGCUGGGAUGUGAAUCCUGGUCUGACUCUACAGUCCCACAUGGUAGAUGGAACCUCCGAGCAACACCUAAACAAAAGGAGUUGAUGCCUCCGAACAGAGUAAUGUCGCUGGAGACACUAAGCAUCGUCGGCCCCUGGCAGGAGCUCCCUAAAUAUGUGUUGGAUGGAUGGAAGAAAGGAUGGAUAGUUCAGAGUACUUCAGCCUUGAUUCCUCCGCAACAGACACCUGAAACUUGACCCUACAUUGGUUCUUGGCCAUCGUGAUCUUCCUUGGACAGAAUCACCUUUCAGCUCCGGUCAUCAGACUUUCCCAGGGCCCUCAGAAAGCCCUUCAGAGUUGUUACUCACAGGCAGGCUGAGGGAUUCCUUACGGGGUCUGCAGCUCUCCUCACCUCAUCCACAAGUAGGACCGUGGCCUGUUCCUCACUACUGCCCCAGGAUCACUCUGUUCCCAGCCCAGUCCAGCAAUCACUUGUCUAGCUUUCUGGAACCUUGAGUACUUUCUUGAACCAUGAGUCCUGUGACCACCCUAGCAGCUCUAACCCUCCCUUAUCUGAAAGGAAGUGUGAGGUGACCUUGCAGGUCCCAGAGUUGAUUGAAGACCCCAUCCAGAAAGAAGGCACCCUGUGGGAGAGAUUGCAAGGCCUAGGUCUGAAUCCGGAAGCUUCCACCCCAUGGAGAAGGGCUGGCACCAGCCUGGGGCUGGCAGUGGAGCUGAGCUUUGGAGCCAAGGACUGUACUGCAGUGCAGGGAGAGUGAGGCCAGAAAGGCUGAGACAACUCAGGGAAAGAAAACCUCCCUUCUGGCUAAUAGUCAAGCACCGCCUGAGUAGACCAACACUCUCCUGUCCACAGGGGCAGCAGAUGAAGACACAACCAGAGAGGACUAACAGGCCCCCUCAGCUCUCAGUCAGAGGGCAGAGCAACACAGAAUAGACAUUAAAGGAACAGACUUUGAGGCCAGGCAGCCUUGGGUGUGCAUCUGUCCCUACUAAGCCAUGUGACAUUAAACAAGUGAGUCCAC
rnacentral:lncRNA from 1 species